CAGAUCCCCGCUGAGCACGGGCGGAAGGGACCUCGCACCGCCGGGCCGGAGGGCUGGGGGACACUCCCGGACUGUGCUUUUGAGAAUAGGGAACGCCUCGGAGCCACUGCAGCCUGAGACGAGGUGACGAGGUGUGGCAGCGUGGCCUCAGGACCGGGACUCCCCUUGGAUAUUUGUCUCUUGGGCUCUGCUGGAGGAAAGAUUGUAAGAAGUAGAUAAAGAACUCAAGAACAGAAGGAAAUUUCUACAUUAUAAUAAAGCAAAGAGUUAUUUUGUCUUUGAACUGAGGAUCUAUACUGUGACUGUACGCAGUAAGCAUUUCUGAAAAAGAAUAAAAGAGAAAAGAAAAAAAGAAGACGGUCUACCCAAAUCCCUCCUCCUCUCCCAGCCCGGUGAAUGAGACUGUCCCUACACAGGGCUUGUUUUCAUUGGUGUCUUUCCUGAGUUAUCACUCCCAGUCACUUCUGAGGCUUCACUGUAGCGCUUCAAAGAAUUCUAACAAGAUAGAGGUACCUAGCUCUGUUCUUGCAUGGACUAGUUUAUUUGAUACGUUCUCCAUGCAAACACACAUCAUCGUCUUCACAUGCUGCAGAAGGUGGUGGAUGCCAGGCUGUGCCACCAUGCAGAGCCACAGACUGAAUGCCCAAGACACGCUUUCGUUUCUAAUAUUUGAAAUGACUGCUAAUCAUGGCUUGUUUGUAAUUUAGUCAAGUGCAGCAGUGGAG